rnacentral:rRNA from 1 species
UGGGGAAUUUUGGACAAUGGGCGAAAGCCUGAUCCAGCAAUGCCGCGUGUGUGAAGAAGGCCUUCGGGUUGUAAAGCACUUUUGUCCGGAAAGAAAUCCUUGGCUCUAAUACAGUCGGGGGAUGACGGUACCGGAAGAAUAAGCACCGGCUAACUACGUGCCAGCAGCCGCGGUAAUACGUAGGGUGCAAGCGUUAAUCGGAAUUACUGGGCGUAAAGCGUGCGCAGGCGGUUUGCUAAGACCGAUGUGAAAUCCCCGGGCUCAACCUGGGAACUGCAUUGGUGACUGGCAGGCUAAGUAUGGCAGAGGGGGGUAGAAUUCCACGUGUAGCAGUGAAAUGCGUAGAGAUGUGGAGGAAUACCGAUGGCGAAGGCAGCCCCCUGGGCCAAUACUGACGCUCAUGCACGAAAAGCGUGGGGAGCAAAACAGGAUUAGAUACCCCUGGGUAGUCCACGCCCUAAAACGAUGUCAACUAGUUGUUGGGGAUUCAUUCCUUAGUAACGUAGCUAACGCGUGAAGUUGACCGCCUGGGGAGUACGGUCGCAAGAUUAAAACUUAAAUGAAUUGACGGGGUC